rnacentral:rRNA from 1 species
GACGAACGCUGGCGGCGUGCUUAACACAUGCAAGUCGAACGGAAAGGCCCUGCUUUUGUGGGGUGCUCGAGUGGCGAACGGGUGAGUAACACGUGAGUAACCUGCCCUUGACUUUGGGAUAACUUCAGGAAACUGGGGCUAAUACCGGAUAGGAUCUCCUGCUGCAUGGUGGGGGUUGGAAAGUUUCGGCGGUUGGGGAUGGACUCGCGGCUUAUCAGCUUGUUGGUGGGGUAGUGGCUUACCAAGGCUUUGACGGGUAGCCGGCCUGAGAGGGUGACCGGCGACAUUGGGACUGAGAUACGGCCCAGACUCCUACGGGAGGCAGAAGUGGGGAAUAUUGCACAAUGGGCGGAAGCCUGAUGCAGCAACGCCGCGUGCGGGAUGACGGCCUUCGGGUUGUAAACCGCUUUCGCCUGUGACGAAGCGUGAGUGACGGUAAUGGGUAAAGAAGCACCGGCUAACUACGUG